rnacentral:rRNA from 1 species
AGUGAACGCUGGCGAUAGGCCUAACACAUGCAAGUCGAACGGCAGCACAGUAAGAGCUUGCUCUUACGGGUGGCGAGUGGCGGACGGGUGAGGAAUACAUCGGAAUCUACUUUUUCGUGGGGGAUAACGUAGGGAAACUUACGCUAAUACCGCAUACGACCUACGGGUGAAAGCAGGGGAUCUUCGGACCUUGCGCGAUUGAAUGAGCCGAUGUCGGAUUAGCUAGUUGGCGGGGUAAAGGCCCACCAAGGCGACGAUCCGUAGCUGGUCUGAGAGGAUGAUCAGCCACACUGGAACUGAGACACGGUCCAGACUCCUACGGGAGGCAGCAGUGGGGAAUAUUGGACAGUGGGCGCAAGCCUGAUCCAGCCAUACCGCGUGGGUGAAGAAGGCCUUCGGGUUGUAAAGCCCUUUUGUUGGGAAAGAAAAGCAGCAGGUUAAUACCCCGCUGUUCUGACGGUACCCAAAGAAUAAGCACCGGCUAACUUCGU